AAAUACCUAUCUCUGUGGAGACUCAGCAGGUAUAGACAAUGAGAAUCUACUAUAUACAUAGCACAGCAGGACACACAUCCUUCAUAAGGGAGGUGCUGCACAACCCUCCUUCUCCCAGACCAGCACAUACCAGCAAUCCCACAAUGUACUUUCCAGAACGAGACUCCUGCCCUGUAAGCCCAGAGACACAGGUCCAAGGUUCUACAGGAUGAGGGUCGUAGGAAGAGGGAGCCUGCAAGUAUGUCAGCCAAGGCCUGUUCCAUACUCCCUAGUCCAAAUCCAACAAAAGGUGGAGAAAAGUUUUGUUGUUGUUGUUGUUGUUGUUUCCUUCUUUGGGCCUUUCUCUUUUGUUAGGUACUCGGAGUAACGGCUCCUAGUAUUUUUCAACUCUCAGAAUGCCAGGUUUAAUACACUGGACAUCCUGCAGGGAAGGCAGGAUGUACCAAGCUUAAAUAUUAGGCAGCUCUUUUUGAACAAAGAUAGAGCAAGUAGAGCCACAAAUCUUAACAAAUGCCAGAAAUACAUCAGAGAGAACCAUAAGGCUAUGCAAGAGACUUCGCUGGCUGCAGAGCGUGUGGCUAUGAGGUCUACAGCUGUCACGUGUGUCUUUCCAACCACACCCUCCAAGACUGGUGACACGGCACUGGGAGGCCUCUUAGAAUGGAGGACAGCAAAUAGAUACAAAUAGGACAGAGGGUAUUUGCUGGACAAAACAUAUUCUCUCUUAUUUUGUUAAACUAUUAUUAUGAUAAAUAAUACCAGGACCUCAGGAGUAAGUGACUUUUCACAUUUGUAGAAUAUGUUACGGCUUUUGUUGCUUACAUGAUCUCAGUUAAAUCUUACAAUAAGCCCAUGAGAAAGAUAGUUUUUACUAACAAUGGGGAAACUGAGGCAGCAGAGAAAGACUCGUGACAGAGCAGGGACUAGGACACAGGAACAACCCUGGCUUGACAAAGCCCUUUCCAAUAUAUCGUUAGAGCUGCAGGGAUGGGAGAAAGAAGGGAGGGAUUGAAAUAAAGGAGCACUACCAAGACCUGAAGAGCAGAUCCCAAUCCUAGUCUCAGGUUUAUUUCCCACAGACCUUGAAGCCCAGCCAGGGACCUUCACCCAUCUAACCCCGACUCGGCCACCACAAGAAUGUCUCCAGCUUGAGGACAGCUUCACUGGCCAAGUAGGACCCUUGUCAUCCAUAGAGAGGGGAUAGGGAGCCCAGAGACAGAGACACAGAAGGAGAAAUUAGCCACACUAGGAAUUCUCCAUCUACAAGUUAGUUUACAAAUGGUUACAGCUUCCUAAUCCUAUUCCUGAGAAUGCAGAUAAGCAACCCUACCCACAAGGGAGGACAAGGCUCUGCCUCAGAGAAGACCACUGUGAUAGUGACGGGAGUGUCACUGACGUAUCUCACUCUUGAGACAAGAUAUACCACAGCAAGCCCUAUACUCAGUUUCCUCCAGUUCUUCUCAUUUUUGAAUAUCAGUUUUUUCCCUCUCUUGGGUGCAGGAAGUCCUUUUCCAUCACACCCUUGGGAUCCUGACCCCCUGGGGUUUACUAAAAGUCUCAGCUCUGUGAGGCCUGCAGUAGCUCGUGGCUGUGGGGUGGGUAGGACUCCGUCUUCUCCCUGAUACUCUCACAGCUCUGAGAGCAUCACCUUUUCCCUAAAAGCUGAGGGCAUCCCGGUCCCUAUCCUUGGCCCUGUAACGGGGAGAAGCUCUGGGUCCACCAAAGACGGAUCUAAAGGAACAGUCCACAGAGUGAUAAAGGGUAUAUGAAAACUGGCGUUUUAGGCAAGAGCAAAAAAAGGUGGAGGGGCCGCGUGGGGAGGGCGGCAGAAGGGCACUGCUGGUAUGGGGCCAGGGCACCACGUGAAGACUCCUAGCAACGUUCCAAAACUGAAGAUGCAAAAGACCCUGAAAAUACGGUGGGAGGUGGAAAAGGGUCGGGGUCCCUCCCACUGGAAAAGCCCGGAAGAGCUGGCAGCCUCCUCUUGGGAGACGGAGUUGUGCAAUGACUGCGGGUCUGGGAGUCUCCGGGCUUGGCUCCCGGACACCAGAAAGGAAACCCCACUGGUCGGGCCAGAGUGGCAGUGCUGCGGUUGGUUCGAGGCCACGCGUAGGAUUCAGAGCUGCAGAGAGAGCUGCAGGAUAUGCUGCCAUGUUAUAAGGAUACUCAAGCAACUUUAUGGUGAGGUCUACAUGGCAAGGAACCAAGACCUCCUACCAAAAACCAACACUUACUUGCCAGGCUUGUGAGUGAGCCACCUUAGAAGCAGAUACUCCAGCCCUGGUCAAGCCUUCAGAUGACAGCAGUCCCAGCUGACCUCUUGACUGCAACCUCGUGAGAGACCCUGUGCCAGAACCAGCCAGUAAGUGGCUGCAACAGCACCAGGCAUUCUAUGCUUCAUACAAGACCCAAAAUUCAGACAAGAAGAGGAGGGGCAUUUUGAAGUGUGAAGAAAACUUUCCCAGAAACCCCGGAAUCCCUUAUGCCUCAUUGGCCAAAAUUGCAUCACAUGCCUGUUCCAAAACCAGUCAUUGGCAAGACGGAAAAGAAGGCCCAGAAACUUGCUGUAGCCAACAAGGAUUUAGUGAGUUGAGGGAGAAAGCAAUAAUUAUCAGAAUGGCACCUUCAUGAUGUAACGGGCCAUCACAUCGAGGAAAAUCUCAAUAGCAAGAACUCUGUGGAAAGAAGGUUUUCAUGAAACACUGUUAAUAGACUGCCCUGCCUGCCUUCCCAGGCGACUCUCUUCUAGACUGGGGUAAAAGAGACUUAAGAAAUGAGCAUGGCCGGCCUGAAGUAAACCACCUAAGGACAGGCAGAGGAAUCCAAGAAUCCCACUACCCCCAGGACAUGCCAGAAGAGGCAGCCAGAGGAGACACUGCCCAACUCAAGUCUUGAAGGACUGGUUUCCCUCAUUGCAGUAUAAGCACCUUGAGUGCAGGGAAUGAAUAAGUCAUUCUUUAUUGACCCUGCCAGAGUCAGUGCGUGCUGGUCAAAGUUAACAACUGCCCCUGGGAGCCUGGAGGGAGAAGCUCUGAUUUGCAGUGUUUUCCAUGUACAUACUGCCAUCAUGCCUGACUUCAAGCUCCCAAUGUGACAUUACCAAACAAGGAGUGGAAAAGAGAUGUGCAGAAGUACGGACCAGCUUGAAUGAUUUCAGGAUGCUUCUCAGUGGACCUCUUGAUUUGGUUCAAAAGACCAGAACCAUGGAAUACUCUACCACAGUGAGAAUGAACUACUCUAUGCAAAACCCAGACAAAUCUCACAAACAUAAUGUGGAGCAAAGGAAGGCAGACACAAAAGAGUACUGUGAAAUCCCAUUUAUAUCGAGCUCAAAAACAGACAGAAUCGAUCUGUAAUAUUAGAAGUCAGGAUAGUGGUUCCUUUGUUGUCCCUAGUGACUGGGAGGGGCAAGAGGGCUUCAGGGGUGCGAGUCAAGUACUAAUUCUUUGUCUGGGUCCUGCUUACACAGACGUAGACACACUGAGCUGUCCACUUAUGAUCUGUGCACGUCUCUGUAUAUUAUAUUUUAAGCAAAAGUUACCUUAAAAAAAGGAACCAGAAUGGAAUCUUGCGAAGUAAAUCUCGUGAAGGAAGAGUGAAUGAAUUCCUGUGUGUCAUCCAAAAAUAGCCUCUGCAGGUCAGUGAGGCAGGAUGGCACUAGCACCGGGCUAGGCGUCAGAAAACCUGAUAUCCAACCCCGCUUCUCUUAUUCGCUGGUGCAAGGGUCUUGGGAACGUAGCUUCCCCGCUUCUCACUUCCUCUGCUGCAGAACAAAGAGGUUGGAUUUGAUUAAAUGAUCUCAGAGAGAAGACUCCUUUCCCACCUGUUUCAGGGGAGAUGGAAGAGGAUUGAAUGUUCAUUUUGCCUCUCGUGUGAUUUUCUUAUAGAGGAAACAGUGCCAGUUGUAUUAUUAUUCUAUUACAUUCCAGUUAGGCUUGAUGAACUCACAGAUCAGUUUUCACGCUGUCAAAAUACAUAUACAUGUGUGUACACUCACAUAUACACACACAUAUAUGCACACCUAGGAGUAUUUGGCCCUCCCGGCAUCCUCUUAUUACCUGUCAUCAGCCUUGAAUUUCCCACUCAUCUCCCUCUUCACCUUCAUUUCCGCCGUCCUUGACCUUAGUGUGCACACAUCCUAGAGCCACCAUAUAAAGUGCCACACACUGGAUAGCUUAGAACAACUGAAAUUUGGGGGUCUCACAAUUCUGGAGGCCGGAAGCCCAAGAGCGAGUGUUGGUAGGGUCGUGCUCCCUCUGAGGACUCUCGCGCUCUAUCCCUCCAUUCUGGGUUCUGGUGGUCUCAGCUGUUCUAUGGCUUGAUUAACAAACACGAGAAGUGCUUGCAAUGGGGCCCAGCGCAGUUAGCAUGUGAUAAACAUUAGCUACGGGGACAAAACAUCAGAUAGUGUCACCUGCAUUUUACAGUUGAAGGAACUGAGGCACACAGGCUAGCACAAGGCUAACUCGAGGCAGAUCCAGAACUGAAACCCAGGUCUUCUGGGUUACUAGAACCCAGAUAACCUAACUGACUUGUUAGGUUAUCUGGCAUGACUCGCUGUCCAGUCUUCAGUAAUAAUAAUAAAGACGACAGCUACCUUUUACUGAGCAUUCACUAAAUGCCAGCUAAUUACCUAUUAGGAUGGUAUUAUCUCUGUUUUAGAGAAGUAUAAGUUGAGGACUAAAUAUUCAGAAAACAAAGCUGUAUCAGCCAGCAACUGAUGGGGAGCCAGGAUUUGAAUGCAGUUCUCUACAGCCCCUGAGUUUUUAACCACUUAUGCUCCAUAACCUCUGGAAAAUAAAAGACCAUUGUAGCUGCUUGCUCUAUAAAUGACUAAGAGUUGCCAGGACGAAUUGGGUGAUAUUUGUAAGUUCCCCAAGGAUCAGGAAGAAAGCCAUUUGUAACCAUCCUUCAUCCUUUACCCUGUGGCAUCAGGCACUGGACUCCCAUAGGUGUCUCGUAUGCUUCCAUGGAUGGAUUUGCUGAUCAGUCCCCCAGAGCUUAAGAAGCCAGGCACAAGAGUGGAGAGGCUAGAGGAGCCAGAUGAGCGUUUGAUAGCGAAGGCCAAGGCUGGGUGCCAGUAGGAUUGUCUGAUGCUAUCCAAGAGAUAGAGGAGGACCCAGUGCCAGAAACCAGAAGGAGCCAUGGUAUCCCAGCACAAAGACAUUGUGACACCUAUCACAUUUGUGAAAAGAAGAAAGAAAAGAAUGUUACUUCACACGGGGGCCACUAGUCCUAGAAAGGGGAAUGUUGAUUUUUGCGAGUGGUUUCAGAUGGCUGCCUGGGAACACCUUCCUAGUUUGAGAUUUCAAGCAAAGGCCAAAUGUUAGCAGCCAUUUGGGGGGCUUCGCCCAGGCUGGUGUGACAUAAAUGCUGAUGCACACACAUGGUGUGGCUGGCAGCUGAGACAGAUAGGACCAUUUAGGCUUCUGUCAUUUCUUUCUCAUCCUCUAUGGGCAGCUCCCCUGAUUAGGGUCAUCACCAAUCCCUGUGCCUUGUCUCUGGCUCCUGGGGCCACAUGGUGGACAAGCAAGGUUAAAUAAAUCAGUUGAGGCAGGGAAUAAAAGUAGGUAUGGUGGCAGAGAAGGGGGAGUGAGAUUAUUGUCAAUUUUUUUCCAACAGAAUUUGAAGAGCUUUGUCGAACACGAUUCUGUCUCUCAUGUCCCCCCACCGGGUGAAUAAUUUACUAUGGCUUAAGGGGCCACAAACACAACAGCCCUGACCCUGGAAUGGACUUUGAGAUGGAGGCAAAAUUAAGGGUUGCCCUCCUCCCUUGACUUCCAUUUGGACUGCCCUGCAACUCUCAGGGUAUUUAGAAGAUAAUACAUUAAGAGUUUUCCUAAAAGAACGAGGGCCGUGGCUUGCGCAAAAGGCGUUUACUUCCAUGAGGUGGGAUUUUUAUUGCUGGUUUCAACAUCAAGGAGGUGUGAACGUUAUGUACAAAUCCUGACAAUCAAUACCACCUGAGGAAGGCCAGGAAGCGGGUCCAUGGGCCAGUGCUUCUCACACUUCAGGUGCACAGUUUGGAAGCACCUGGGGUCUUGUGAAAAUGCAGAUUCUCAAUCAGGGGUCCAGACUGUGUUUCCAACAUGUCACUGCUCGUGAUAAGACCACUCCGGACUAAGAAAGACUCUUGUCCUUUUCUCGACAUUCUCCUAAACAAACACACCUCCUCCCACCAAAGUCAUAAAAUAAAAACAGGGAAAUUGCAUUUCCUGAAAAUGUUUUACAUAAUUCCCCAAAUUAGGAAGAAAUUGUGAUACUGUAUUUAGAAUUUUAAUCUGCCCUCCUCCGCCACCGAGAAUGGUCUCAUACUUGAUCAGGUCAGAGGGUAGGUCAAAGGAUGAGGAUUACAUGGAGAGUCUUGGGCAAUCUUAUAGAACAAGCAGAAAUGAUAGUAUUAAAACUACUUUUUUUUUUUUUUUGCUCUAAAAUACAUUAUUAAAGCUAGCUUUAACUGAUAUAGAUGUAUAAAAUUACUAGAUGAUUAAAGGCAAAUUUUAUUUAUUAUUUGUGUUUUUCUGUAUUUCUCAAAUUUUUUUACAAAUGAACUUGUGUUGCUUUUAUUUUUUAGAAGCUAAAUUUAAAACAUACUGUACUGUCAAAGUUCAUAGGCCUUUCCCUGGUGCUAGAAACCAGAAUGGAUUCUUUAACAUCUAGGGGCUGAUACUGUAUAUAUCGGUACACUCUGCAGAUAACUGAACCCAGACAGUCUUCUGGGGUUAAGGGGACCGAGACAGCGGAGCAUCUGUUUGGCACUGAAGGGAGGAGAGAGAGCGUCUAUGGAGGAGCACCCAUUCUCUGCCUCUUGACGUCAUACUGACCGCUUGCUAGCCCAAACAAGGGAAGUCAGCGGAAUUGUGGAGACAAAUGCCAAGGAUGGGACAUUUUCUUUGCCAUUCAUGGCUUGGACUAUGGGAUCAGAUUGCCUUGCAGCCCGCCCUGCACCAAACCUAGGACAUGACUACUCGUCAGUAAACUUGGUGGCAUGGUGACUGUCUCAUUUCCCAUAUUGUAUGGGCGGGCCCCUGACCAUCCCUCAUGGAAAGGAGAGAAAUUAGCUAAGUUGAGAGCGGCCUACUGUGACAAGGGGAGAUGACUUUAUAUAAGAGAGCAUGAGUUACUCAUCUAUACCAGGGGCGAGAAAGAGGACAUGGCUAAAAGGGGUCUAACAUGAGCAAGAAGCUGGGGGGACUCAGGUAGACAGGAAUCACCCCCAAACCCUGGCCAAGAGGCCAGGUGUUGAAGCACACCUACAGUCAACUUUGCUGGAUGCAAAGGUCAGCAGGGAGGGCAGUGGACAACGGUAGGGAUUGGAGCAUCCAGGGAUACUUCUUGGAUUCUAGAACCCCUCUAGUUUUAUGAAG